rnacentral:lncRNA from 1 species
GAUUUCAGCUGAAGACUUGAGAGAGCAGCUUCAUGAGAAAGGCGGCCUAGUCAAGAAUCAUAACUUGAACAUCUUUUCAUAUGCCUCUUGGCCGUCUGUAUAUUUUCUUUGGAAAAAUGAAUCAGUGAUCUUCAAGGAUGCGGCUGUGGACUUUACCAGGAAGAGUGGGCCUUGCUGGACACAUCCCAGAGAAAGCUGUACAGAGAUGUGAUGCUGGAGAAUAUCAGGCAUCUUGUCUCUGUGGAAGUGACCUUAAAAACCAGGAAAUGACAUGUAUACCAGAUAUCUGCAGGAAGGACCUUCUAACCACACAGUCAAUGCGUACCCUGUGACCUAUCCAAGAAAUCUCCCUGCUCCAAGCCAUAAAAAUAUUCUCCUGUGUUACCUACUAAAGAUGUCAUCAAUUGAAAUGGCCACAUUUGGAUGUAAAAUCCACCUGGAAUUGACUUUUCUUUAUGGCAUGAGGUGUCACAGUCAAGGUGAAGUUGUUCCCCGUAUGGUAUGGACAGCCAGUGCCCCGGGGCCAUUUCCUGGAAGACCCUCUUCUCCCCACUGCUCCGCCUCCUCUUCUGUCACCAACAGAUGUUCGUGUGUGUGGGUCUCAGGAGCACUCUCGUCUUCCUGCUUCUCCCUGUGGCUGUCCUUGCACUAGGACAGCACGCUGCCCUGAGGACUGUAGCUUUAUACCAAGGCUUCAUUUCUGGGAGUGGGAGCCCUGCAAGCUUGUUCUCCUUCAAGGUUGUCUUGACUAUAUGUUGCCUCUUGUAUUUCUAUGGAAACUU